rnacentral:tRNA from 1 species
GGCCCCGUGGCGGAACUGGUAGACGCACGCGACUUAAAAUCGCGAGCCUUCGGGCGUGGGGGUUCGAGUCCCCCCGGGGCCACCA